UAAAACCGAUAACCCCCGUUAAACCUCACCUUUCCUUGUUCUCCCCGCCUAUAUACCGCCGUCGUCAGCUUACCCUAUGAAGGCCCUUUAGUAAGCACAAUUGGUAAAACCCAAAACGUCAGGUCGAGGUGUAGCGUAUGGAAAGGGAAGAAAUGGGCUACUACGAAUAAUACACUGAAACGUAUAUCUGAAGGAGGAUUUAGCAGUAAGCAGAAAAUAGAGCGUUCUACUGAAAGGCCCUGAAGCGCGCACACACCGCCCGUCACUCUCCCCAAAUACAUUCUAAAACCUUUCAUCCAAAGGGGAGGCAAGUCGUAACAUGGUAAGUGUACCGGAAGGUGCACUUGGCAAAAC
rnacentral:rRNA from 1 species